UAGCGCUGCCGCAGGUCUCGGGGCUGGUAGUAGCGCUGCCUGCAAACCAGCACCAAGGCUGCAAACGAAGCCAGAAAGAUGGUGGCCAGCACACCUCUGGCAACUAUCACCACGGUCUCCAUGCUUCCGGGGAGCUCCUGACUCAGUCCCGUUCACAUCCUCCUCAUGGGCUAAGGCUGCUGGAAGUGGCAAACUGGGGGAAGAGGAUGGCAGGAGCUAGGUUCCUCCACGACACCUCCAGAGACCUGAGGGCCUCAAGCUGCAGCUCCGGGGCACAUCCCGCUGCGCUCCCACGACGGCCCCGCCGAUGGCAAAGUCAGCGAAUUGACCACAAGAGAAGACUCCCUUUCAAACUCUUCGUUCUCUGGUUCAGAGGUUUGAUGUAAUGGUUGUCUCAUCGUACAUGGCCAGCCACAGGAUAUACUUCAUCCAUUUCAGAGCUGUACUCCUAAGUUCCAUGCUAUAAUCAGAAAUAUGUGGCACAUUUUGAACAAAGGAAAUAUAUACCCAACAAAGUGUUAAAACGGAGCUGCCAACCAGACAAACCCUAGAAAUAUGUAGCCACUUACAGGCAGAACACAACUACAUGUGUUCCCAAUGUGGAAGGCAUUCCGGAAGUGUAUGCAUCCACAUUUCUACAUGAGGCAUCACCUAUGCAGGCAAUCAAAGGAUGUUAAUGGAUAAAUGUUUCAGGCAGAAUAAUGGCCCUCAAAGAUGUUGACACCAGAAUCUUCAGAACCUGUGCAUAUGUUACCUAACAUGACAAAAGGGACUUUGCUGAUGUGA
rnacentral:lncRNA from 1 species